rnacentral:rRNA from 1 species
UACGAAGGGUGCAAGCGUUACUCGGAAUUACUGGGCGUAAAGCGUGCGUAGGUGGUGAGUUAAGUCUGUCGUGAAAGCCCCGGGCUCAACCUGGGAAUGGCAGUAGAAACUGGCGAGCUAGAGUGUGGCAGAGGGGGGUGGAAUUCCACGUGUAGCAGUGAAAUGCGUAGAGAUGUGGAGGAACACCAAUGGCGAAGGCAGCCCCCUGGGUUAACACUGACACUCAGGCACGAAAGCGUGGGGAGCAAACAGG